AGCGCAUACGGUGGAUGCCUUGGCAGUCAGAGGCGAUGAAAGACGUGGUAGCCUGCGAAAAGCUUCGGGGAGUCGGCAAACAGACUGUGAUCCGGAGAUGUCUGAAUGGGGGAACCCAGCCAUCAUAAGAUGGUUAUCUUGUACUGAAUACAUAGGUGCAAGAGGCGAACCAGGGGAACUGAAACAUCUAAGUACCCUGAGGAAAAGAAAUCAACCGAGAUUCCCUUAGUAGUGGCGAGCGAACGGGGACCAGCCCUUAAGUUGUAUUGAGAUUAGCGGAACGUUCUGGAAAGGACGGCCAUAGUGGGUGAUAGCCCUGUACGCGAAAAUCCCUUUGCAAUGAAAUCGAGUAGGACGGGGCACGAGAAACCUUGUCUGAAUAUGGGGGGACCAUCCUCCAAGGCUAAAUACUACUGACUGACCGAUAGUGAACCAGUACCGUGAGGGAAAGGCGAAAAGAACCGCGGAGAGCGGAGUGAAAUAGAUCCUGAAACCGUAUGCGUACAAGCAGUGGGAGCCCACUUGUUGGGUGACUGCGUACCUUUUGUAUAAUGGGUCAGCGACUUAUUUUCAGUGGCGAGCUUAACCGAAUAGGGGAGGCGUAGCGAAAGCGAGUCUUAAUAGGGCGUCUAGUCGCUGGGAAUAGACCCGAAACCGGGCGAUCUAUCCAUGGGCAGGUUGAAGGUUGGGUAACACUAACUGGAGGACCGAACCGACUACCGUUGAAAAGUUAGCGGAUGACCUGUGGAUCGGAGUGAAAGGCUAAUCAAGCUCGGAGAUAGCUGGUUCUCCUCGAAAGCUAUUUAGGUAGCGCCUCAUGCAUCACUGUAGGGGGUAGAGCACUGUUUCGGCUAGGGGGUCAUCCCGACUUACCAAACCGAUGCAAACUCCGAAUACCUACAAGUGCCGAGCAUGGGAGACACACGGCGGGUGCUAACGUCCGUCGUGAAAAGGGAAACAACCCAGACCGUCAGCUAAGGUCCCAAAGUCAUGGUUAAGUGGGAAACGAUGUGGGAAGGCUUAGACAGCUAGGAGGUUGGCUUAGAAGCAGCCACCCUUUAAAGAAAGCGUAAUAGCUCACUAGUCGAGUCGGCCUGCGCGGAAGAUGUAACGGGGCUCAAACCAUGCACCGAAGCUACGGGUAUCAUCUUUUGAUGAUGCGGUAGAGGAGCGUUCUGUAAGCCUGUGAAGGUGAGUUGAGAAGCUUACUGGAGGUAUCAGAAGUGCGAAUGCUGACAUGAGUAACGACAAUGGGUGUGAAAAACACCCACGCCGAAAGACCAAGGUUUCCUGCGCAACGUUAAUCGACGCAGGGUUAGUCGGUCCCUAAGGCGAGGCUGAAAAGCGUAGUCGAUGGAAAACAGGUUAAUAUUCCUGUACUUCUGGUUAUUGCGAUGGAGGGACGGAGAAGGCUAGGCCAGCCUGGCGUUGGUUGUCCAGGUUUAAGGUGGUAGGCUGAGAUCUUAGGUAAAUCCGGGAUUUCAAGGCCGAGAGCUGAUGACGAGUGUUCUUUAGAACACGAAGUGGUUGAUGCCAUGCUUCCAAGAAAAGCUUCUAAGCUUCAGGUAACCAGGAACCGUACCCCAAACCGACACAGGUGGUUGGGUAGAGAAUACCAAGGCGCUUGAGAGAACUCGGGUGAAGGAACUAGGCAAAAUGGCACCGUAACUUCGGGAGAAGGUGCGCCGGUGAGGGUGAAGCAUUUACUGCGUAAGCCCACGCCGGUCGAAGAUACCAGGCCGCUGCGACUGUUUAUUAAAAACACAGCACUCUGCAAACACGAAAGUGGACGUAUAGGGUGUGACGCCUGCCCGGUGCCGGAAGGUUAAUUGAUGGGGUUAGCGCAAGCGAAGCUCUUGAUCGAAGCCCCGGUAAACGGCGGCCGUAACUAUAACGGUCCUAAGGUAGCGAAAUUCCUUGUCGGGUAAGUUCCGACCUGCACGAAUGGCGUAACGAUGGCGGCGCUGUCUCCACCCGAGACUCAGUGAAAUUGAAAUCGCUGUGAAGAUGCAGUGUAUCCGCGGCUAGACGGAAAGACCCCGUGAACCUUUACUAUAGCUUUGCACUGGACUUUGAAUUUGCUUGUGUAGGAUAGGUGGGAGGCUUUGAAGCGUGGACGCCAGUCUGCGUGGAGCCAACCUUGAAAUACCACCCUGGCAACUUUGAGGUUCUAACUCAGGUCCGUUAUCCGGAUCGAGGACAGUGUAUGGUGGGUAGUUUGACUGGGGCGGUCUCCUCCUAAAGAGUAACGGAGGAGUACGAAGGUGCGCUCAGACCGGUCGGAAAUCGGUCGUAGAGUAUAAAGGCAAAAGCGCGCUUGACUGCGAGACAGACACGUCGAGCAGGUACGAAAGUAGGUCUUAGUGAUCCGGUGGUUCUGUAUGGAAGGGCCAUCGCUCAACGGAUAAAAGGUACUCCGGGGAUAACAGGCUGAUACCGCCCAAGAGUUCAUAUCGACGGCGGUGUUUGGCACCUCGAUGUCGGCUCAUCACAUCCUGGGGCUGAAGCCGGUCCCAAGGGUAUGGCUGUUCGCCAUUUAAAGUGGUACGCGAGCUGGGUUUAGAACGUCGUGAGACAGUUCGGUCCCUAUCUGCCGUGGACGUUUGAGAUUUGAGAGGGGCUGCUCCUAGUACGAGAGGACCGGAGUGGACGAACCUCUGGUGUUCCGGUUGUCACGCCAGUGGCAUUGCCGGGUAGCUAUGUUCGGAAAAGAUAACCGCUGAAAGCAUCUAAGCGGGAAACUUGCCUCAAGAUGAGAUCUCACUGGAACCUUGA
rnacentral:rRNA from 1 species